rnacentral:rRNA from 1 species
UGCGUAGGCGGGAGAUUAAGUCAGUAGUGAAAUCCUGCAGCUUAACUGUAGAACUGUUAUUGAUACUGGUUUUCUUGAAUAUAGUUGAGGUAGGCGGAAUGUGUAAUGUAGCGGUGAAAUGCUUAGAUAUUACACAGAACACCGAUUGCGAAGGCAGCUUACUAAGCUAUGAUUGACGCUGAGGUACGAAAGCGUGGGGAGCGAACAGGAUUAGAUACCCUGGUAGUCC